UAAAUGUCACUGGCAGGGAAGGUUUUAACACUAGGGGCGAUAAAGGGGUUAAAUGUGUUACCUAACUGUAGGGCGGAUGGGACUGUCUAGGAGGAGAGAUAGAUCAGUGUUCAUACUCAUCACAGAGCUCUACAUACUUGGUAUGAACACACGAUCAGUCUCUGCACCCCCUAAAAGAACCGGGAAUUGUGUGUUGACACACAGAAAUCCCGGUUCUUGCUCUGUUACGAGCGGUCGCGGGUGCCCAGCACUCGCAUCGACUAGUGGCCAAAAGAAAAAGCAACGUAAGGUAUCAUCGAUUUGCCAAGCCAACCUGUCGCAGUAAAACUCUGACGGCUGGUCGGCAAGUGGUUAAAAUAGUCUAUAUAUUUUCUUAAAUGUAUGCACACACACACACGGUUUAGGAUGUGGGCAAAACUUUUAGCAACAAAUGCCAGUUACAUAUUAGUGUAGCCUGGCUUUUGGAGCCCUGCAGAAAAUGUACCCAGGAGGCUAAGAGAAACCUUGUACAGAGUCAUAUCUAGGAUCAGACCUAUACAUAUAGCACAGACUUCUGGUGAUUUAGGAUCCACCCAAACCUGUAGGGUCAGGACAGUCUUUUGGACGUUGGCUGAUAAUGCCUGUACCAACUGUCAUCCAAUAGCCAAAUUGUCAAUGCCAGCAAUGCGGGGUGAAAGCUUGGUCCUUGAGACAGAAGAUCAUCUUGCAAAAAGAACCUCCAGGGGACGUCCGCUCUGCGUUGGUGUACUAGGGUUGCCAAAACCAAUUCAGAGCCACUGGAAUGACAGUAAUCCCUUUCAGCCUCUAUCCUGCGCAGCAGAUGAAGGGGAAAGGUGUCACAAUGAUGAUUCCUACCAGAAUGAAGAUGUGCUGGGCCAGAACUUCAAAUUGUAUGCCUAGAUAGUUCACAGUAGUCUUGAUCCCUCUGGUGAUGGGGUCAAUCUUUUCAACUCUGUCAAAUACAAUGUUGAUUGUAGCCAUAAAAGUUUUUCAGACACAUUAAAUGGAGAAGUUGGUAAUGGUGCCACCAGAGCCUCUGUUUCAUGUGCCUGAGAAUUCCUCACCACCUUCCUGUUGAGACGGGAGGGCAGCAAAUCCACAUCUGACUUGCCCCACCCCAGGCAGAUUUGAUGAAAUGCAUCCGGAUGCAAUGACCACUCUAAUUGAUCCUGCUCCUGACUAAUUUAGUCCGCUUGCCUGUUUUCUACGUAGAGAAUGUAAACCCGCAGAAAGCCAGCAGAUGACGUUCUGCUCACCAAAAAAUGUCAUACAGAUAGCCUAUCACUGCAAUCCCCUGCUGUCUUAGCAAUGCCAGGACUGGAGCCAGCACCUUGGUUAAAACACGGGGAGAGCCACAAACUUGAUGCGCAUCCCUGACCACAAAGCACAAGAAACAUUAGUGCUUGGCGCAGAUGGGAAUGUGUAGGUUACACGUCCUUGAUGUCCGUGGAAACCAGAAAAUCUCCCUGAUAAAGGGAGGCCACCAUGGAACAGAUGUAUUCCAUUUUGAACCUCUGAACUAUCACAAAGAAAUGGCUUUGAGUUCCAGAAUCCGAUGGGCACCUUCUUCAAAACCAUAAACGGGUUCUAAACCCCUCCAGGUACAGCACCCUGGAUGAAGAAAUCCUGCACCGCCUGUGAAGAGCCUGCAGGUGAGACAGAAAUGAAGACUCUAAGGAAAACUUGUCUGGAGGAUAGAAAAAAAAUAGUUUUUUAACUUAAUAAAAUCAGUUAGUUGGCCCACUUGUUGGAAAGUAGGGAGGUCUGUUGGUCUGCAAACCAGCAAAGUUGGCCCCUCACCCUAGAAAUGGGUGGGGGCAAGUCUUCAUGCCAAGGAGAGCUUCUCCGUGGACUUGUGAGGCCAGGAGCACUUUCAUGCUAAUUUUUUAAUCCUCAUGUAGGGGGCAGUGUAACAUUAGGCUACUUUCAAAUGGCCGUUCAGUGUAGAUCAGGUUGUGGUUCAGUCUGGAAAACUAACAAUGUAUGUCAAUGGAUGAGCGGAUAUAAAUGGUUGAUUGUCCGUUUGCAUCAGCCUACAUCUGUGUCUGUACACAUUUGUAUUUUUUAAAUUUAAGCUGAACAAGGCUGCAUCCUUUUUCGUUUAGACGGAACGGAAGCCAUCUGUUUAAGGCCAUUCUGUUUUUUAGGCAAGAAACUUUUUUCGUUUUAUACUUUUAUCACCUCCGAUUGGUCUCUACAUCAUCUAAGAAAAAACAGAUGUAGACUGGUAUAAACUGAAUUGAUAUAAACCGCGUGUAUUCUUAAAAUGGCUUCAAACCAGCAUACGUUCUUACACUCGCACACUUUGUAUACUUGUGCAAAGUCAAGGAUCUUGUAGGAUUAGAGUCAGGUGUAUGAUUAACCAAUUAUACCAAUCAGGUGCUAAUGAUCAUGAAUUCCAUAUGUAGGUUGAAACAGCUGUGUUAGGAGGCUUAAACCUGGGUGGAAAACAGUGUUUUAUAUGUUGAGGCGCUAAUGAAAAUGUGCAAAUAACCAAAAACCAUGCUUGUAAUAAUAUAAAACCAACACUGUGUAAUCAAUAGAUUUUUAAGUGAAACAAUAUAUAACAAAAGUCCUAUAACAAUAUAUGAUUAGACAAAACAAUA